rnacentral:misc_RNA from 1 species
GAAAUGCGAUACGUCAUGCGAAUUGCAAAACCAGUGAGUCAUCAAAACUUUGAACGCAACUUGCACUUCCCUUUGGGGAGUAUGUCUGUUGGAGUGCUUGUUCAUCCCCACCAUCAACCCCAUUCCUUAACAAGUCUGGUGUGUUGUUUGAAGACCGCCUCUUUAUCUUACGAUAAAUAGAGCGUAGAUGAAUCAACAAUCAAAUAUCCGAUCCUUGAUUCGUAAUCAGUAUUGCCUCACAAGGGUAAUAUACGACAUCAGGAACGCGACGUCAUAGUGUAAAAACUUUCGAAUCGUGUUUCUAUGUUUGAUGAAAGAUGAUAGAUUAAUUGAAUAUUUUCGAUCGAGCCUCCAAUCAGUCAAGAAUACCCGCUGAAUUUAA